CCGUACGAGCGCACCCCUAUCCCUAGUUGCUAGCAGUUCGGGCUGAGAACUCUAGGGAGACUGCCGGUGACUAACCGGAGGAAGGUGGGGAUGACGUCAGGUCAUCAUGGCCCUUACUGCCAGGGCUACACACGUGCUACAAUGGUGCGCACAGAGGGCUGCAAACCCGCGAGGGGGAGCUAAUCUCACAAAACGCAUCGUAGUCCGGAUCGGAGUCUGCAACUCGACUCCGUGAAGUCGGAAUCGCUAGUAAUCGUGAAUCAAAAUGUCACGGUGAAUACGUUCCCGGGCCUUGUACACACCGCCCGUCACACCAUGGGAGUGGAUUGCACCAAAAGUGGUUAGUCUAACCUUCGGGAGGACGAUCACCACGGUGUGGUUCAUGACUGGGGUGAAGUCGUAACAAGGUAGCCGUAGGGGAACCUGCGGCUGGAUCACCUCCUU
rnacentral:rRNA from 1 species